rnacentral:rRNA from 1 species
UACGUAGGGGGCAAGCGUUAUCCGGAUUUACUGGGUGUAAAGGGAGCGUAGACGGCAGGGCAAGUCUGGAGUGAAAGCCCGGGGCCCAACCCCGGGACUGCUUUGGAAACUGUCCUGCUGGAGUGCUGGAGAGGUAAGUGGAAUUCCUAGUGUAGCGGUGAAAUGCGUAGAUAUUAGGAGGAACACCAGUGGCGAAGGCGGCUUACUGGACAGUAACUGACGUUGAGGCUCGAAAGCGUGGGGAGCAAACAGG